rnacentral:pre_miRNA from 2 species
CUUGUAUUUCCUUUGUCCGGAAAUACUUAUCGCAAGAAUGAAUGUAUCUACAUGUAUAUUAAUAUUAGAUACAUUCAUUUUUAUUCAUUUAUGCGAUAAGUAAUUCAAGAUGAAGGGAGUAGUAG